rnacentral:rRNA from 1 species
AGAGUUUGAUCCUGGCUCAGAACGAACGCUGGCGGCAGGCCUAACACAUGCAAGUCGAGCGAGACCUUCGGGUCUAGCGGCGGACGGGUUAGUAACGCGUGGGAACGUACCCUUUUCUGCAGGAUAGCCACUGGAAACGGUGAGUAAUACUGCAUACGCCCUUCGGGGGAAAGAUUUAUCGGAGAAGGAUCGGCCCGCGUUAGAUUAGAUAGUUGGUGGGGUAACGGCCUACCAAGUCUACGAUCUAUAGCUGGUUUGAGAGGAUGAUCAGCAACACUGGGACUGAGACACGGCCCAGACUCCUACGGGAGGCAGCAGUGGGGAAUCUUAGACAAUGGGCGCAAGCCUGAUCUAGCCAUGCCGCGUGAGUGAUGAAGGCCUUAGGGUCGUAAAGCUCUUUCGCCUGUGAAGAUAAUGACUGUAGCAGGUAAAGAAACCCCGGCUAACUCCGUGCCAGCAGCCGCGGUAAUACGGAGGGGGUUAGCGUUGUUCGGAAUUACUGGGCGUAAAGCGCGCGUAGGCGGACAUUUAAGUCAGAGGUGAAAUCCCAGGGCUCAACCCUGGAACUGCCUUUGAUACUGGGUGUCUUGAGUUCGAGAGAGGUGAGUGGAAUUCCGAGUGUAGAGGUGAGAUUCGUAGAUAUUCGGAGGAACACCAGUGGCGAAGGCGGCUCACUGGCUCGAUACUGACGCUGAGGUGCGAAAGUGUGGGGAGCAAACAGGAUUAGAUACCCUGGUAGUCCACACCGUAAACGAUGAAUGCCAGUCGUCGGGUAGUAUACUAUUCGGUGACACACCUAACGGAUUAAGCAUUCCGCCUGGGGAGUACGGUCGCAAGAUUAAAACUCAAAGGAAUUGACGGG